rnacentral:rRNA from 1 species
CCGGACGCACGGGUGGAGUAACGACGUAUGCACUACCUAUCAGAGGGGAGGUAAUCCGGCGAAAGUCGGACUAAUACCGCAUGAAGCAGGGGCCCCGCAUGGGGAUAUUUGCUAAAGAUUCAUCGCUGAUAGAUAGGCAUGCGUUCCAUUAGGCAGUUGGCGGGGUAACGGCCCACCAAACCGACGAUGGAUAGGGGUUCUGAGAGGAAGGUCCCCCACAUUGGUACUGAGACACGGACCAAACUCCUACGGAAGGCAGCAG